rnacentral:rRNA from 1 species
AUUGAACGCUGGCGGCAGGCCUAACGCAUGCAAGUCGAGCGUGAAAGUCCUUCGGGAUGAGUAAAGCGGCGGACGGGUGAGUAACGCGUAGGAAUCUACCUAAUAGUGGGGAGUAACGUUUCGAAAGGAACGCUAAUACCGCAUACGUUCUGAGGAAGAAAGCAGGGGAUCGCAAGACCUUGCGCUAUUAGAUGAGCCUGCGUCCGAUUAGCUAGUUGGUGGGGUAAAGGCCUACCAAGGCGACGAUCGGUAACUGGUCUGAGAGGAUGAUCAGUCACACUGGAACUGAGACACGGUCCAGACUCCUACGGGAGGCGGCAGUGGGAAGUAUUGGACAAUGGGGCGAACCCUGAUCCAGCCAUGCCGCGUGUGUGAAGAAGG